rnacentral:rRNA from 1 species
UACGAAGGGGGCUAGCGUUGUUCGGAAUUACUGGGCGUAAAGCGCACGCAGGUGGCCUGAGUCAGUCGAUUGUGAAAGCCCUGGGCUUAACCUGGGAAUUGCAGUCGAUACUACUCAGCUAGAGUAUGGGAGAGGGCAGUGGAAUUCCCGGUGUAGCGGUGAAAUGCGUAGAUAUCUGGAGGAACACCGGUGGCGAAGGCGGCAUCCUGGACCAAUUCUGACGCUGAGGAGCGAAAGCCAGGGGAGCAAACGGG